UACGUAGGGACCGAGCGUUGUCCGGAUUUAUUGGGCGUAAAGAGCUCGUAGGCGGCUGUCCACGUCGGGUGUGAAAGCUCGGGGCUCAACCCUGAGAGGUCAUUCGAUACGGGACGGCUUGAGGCAGCUAGGGGAGAUUGGAAUUCCUGGUGUAGCGGUGAAAUGCGCAGAUAUCAGGAGGAACACCGGUGGCGAAGGCGGAUCUCUGGGGCUGUUCUGACGCUGAGGAGCGAAAGCUGGGGGAGCAAACAGG
rnacentral:rRNA from 1 species